rnacentral:rRNA from 1 species
CCUACGGGAGGCUGCAGUGGGGAAUAUUGCACAAUGGGCGAAACCCUGAUGCAGCAACGCCGCGUGAGUGAUGAUGGCCUUCGGGUUGUAAAGCUCUGUCUUCAGGGACGAUAAUGACGGUAUCUUAGGAGGAAGCCCCGGCUAACGAAGUACCAGCAGCCUCGGUAAUACGUAGGUGGCGAGCGUUGUCCGGAUUUACUGGGCGUAAAGGGAUCGUAGGCGGACUUUUAAGUGAGAUGUGAAAUACUCGGGCUCAACUUGAGUGCUGCAUUUCAAACUGGAAGUCUAGAGUGCAGGAGAGGAGAAUGGAAUUCCUUGUGUAGCGGUGAAAUGCGUAGAGAUUAGGAAGAACACAAGUGGCGAAGGCGAUUCUCUGGACUGUAACUGACGCUGAGGCUCGAAAGCGUGGGGAGCAAACAGGAUUAGAUACCCUAGUAGUC